rnacentral:lncRNA from 1 species
CUCAUUUUCAAAACAUGUAAAAGCACUUCUUGUAUCAUAUGAUGAAAAGGUUCUUAAUUUUAAGACGUGAUUUUUUUUACUGAAUGUUAAACUUUGGUAGAUUUCACCGGGCAUUCUAACUCUGUCUAAGUAUCACAACUAACCUUCCCAACAGUCUGUUCUUUAUCAAUUCUUUAAAAUAUGUUAAUAUGCUCUACUGUGAAUG